rnacentral:rRNA from 1 species
UACCGUAGGGUGCGAGCGUUGUCCGGAAGUUAUUGGGCGUAAAGGGCUCGUAGGCGGUCUGUCACGUCGGGAGUGAAAACACGGGGCUUAACCCCGUGCCUGCUUCCGAUACGGGCAGACGUAGGAGGUAUGCAGGGGAGAACGGAAUUCCUGGUGUAGCGGUGAAAUGCGCAGAUAUCAGGAGGAACACCGGUGGCGAAGGCGGUCUCUGGCGAUUACCUGACGCUGAGGAGCGAAAGCGUGGGUAGCAAACAGG